UUGAGAUGGCAGAUUUUUGUUUGCACAAAUACACAAAUUUAUUUGUUUGUGUUGGCAAAAUGUCGAUUGAUGUUGUUGUACAAAUGAGCAACCUUUAAAAUAAUUCUGCCAUGUUAUGCCAUAUGCAGGGCACUCUGUUUUAGUUGUUAAAAACUUCAACAAAAUAUCUUAAUUUACUUACACAUAGUUACGGCAAAUUUUCUGCAGCAACAAAUCCUAACCUACCCUAAAGAAAACCUCAAAAAUUUAUAUUUAAAAUGACAUAGAGGCAGCACUCCCAUCAUAUGUUUUACAAUCAAUUUCUUUUGCUUUAAAAUAUAUUAUCUAGAAAAAGUAAUAGGCGAAAAAUAUCGCGAACAGCGAAUAUGGUACCAUAUUUUGAAGAGCAAUAUGCACCUCCGGCGAAACUCUAAUUACCCUAUGUUUGGUACUCUAUUUCAUGUAAUUAUGUUAAAAAAAAAUUAUAUUUUGUUAAAGUUUUUCGCAACAAUUCCAAAAGUUUCUUUGAUUGAAUCUAAAUAAAAGUCGACUAGAUUUCAAUAAUCUCGGGUUCGGCAAGGAGUUUU